rnacentral:tRNA from 1 species
GCUGCUAUGGCUCAGCAGGUAGAGCACAUCCUUGGUAAGGAUGAGGUCACCGGUUCAAAUCCGGUUAGCAGCUCCA